AUUCUUAUCUAAGUUUGACACCUAUGUCAAGGAGAAUCUGAUUUAAAGCUUCCGAGGUAUUGUGAGGUAUCGCAGGGAACUCAAUGGAGAUCAGAGAUCCACCAAAUCCAGGGACAAGAGCAGGGGCAGCUAUUCUCUGUCUGGGUCCUGCUCUCUUACAGUCAUUCUUGCUGUGUCUUACUUUCUCUGGUAAAAUUUGGAUAAUUGACAGGGUAAUUGUCCUAAAGAACAGAGAUGAAAGGUUAAGAAUAAUUCCUAAGUCAUCCUGGCAACGACAGUCAAGUAGAUCAAGGCUUCACACUGUCCAUUAACCUAUGAAGGAUUCUGAGAAAUCCUACAGUAAAAACAACAACAACAACAAAACUCUCGUUUUCCAAAUGAGCUUCAUCAUGGUGCUCUUUCUCGUAACGUCUUGAAAAUAGUCUAUUAUUUGGAAAAUACUUGGUAGAAAUACUGCAAUAAAAACACAGAUUUUAUUUCCCCUUAUGUGUUC
rnacentral:lncRNA from 1 species